rnacentral:rRNA from 1 species
UCGAGCGAAGCUUCUCAGUAGUUUACUACAGAAAAUGACUGAGCGGCGAACGGGUGAGUAACGCGUGAGCAACCUACCUUAGUUACUGGGAUAGCCCGAGGAAACUCGGAUUAAUACCGGAUAUUCUUAUUUAAUCACAUGAUUUUUUAAGGAAAGGUCAGCCGAACUAAGAUGGGCUCGCGUUCUAUCAGCUAGUUGGUAGGGUAAUGGCCUACCAAGGCUACGACGGAUAGCUGGUCUGAGAGGACGAUCAGCCACACUGGGACUGAGACACGGCCCAGACUCCUACGGGAGGCUGCAGCAGGGAAUAUUGCGCAAUGAGCGAAAGCUUGACGCAGCGACACCGCGUGUGGGAUGACGGAUCUAGGUUUGUAAACCACUUUCAGGAGGGAAGAAAAUGACGGUACCUCCACAAGAAGCCCCGGCCAACUACGUGCCAGCAGCCGCGGUAAUACGUAGGGGGCGAGCGUUGUCCGGAUUUAUUGGGCGUAAAGAGCUCGUAGGCGGUUCAACAAGUCGGUCGUGAAAGUUCAGGGCUCAACCCUGAAAUGUCGAUCGAUAC